rnacentral:rRNA from 1 species
CGCCAUGUGUCGGCACGCGGGUAAUUCGAUUUACCUGGUUGUAUCCUGCCAGUAGUCAUAUGCUUUUCUCAAAGACUAAGGCCAUGCACGUUUUAGUAAAUCCUAAUCUAAAGGGAAACCGCGAAUGGCUCAGUAAGCCGGACACAAGUGUUUAUUUGAUCGUAGCAAUACUAGAUGGAUAACUCUGGUAAUUCUAGAGCUAAUACAUGCAAAUUGAGCUCGGACCCUAUUGGCAGCUUGCUGUUGGUAUGGGGAGAGUGCGUUUAUUGGAAGUCAGGUGGCGGUUCGCCGUCACUUGCAGGUGACUAGGGAUAACUAAUGCCGAUCGCGGAGUGUAUACUCAGCGACGUCUCAUUCAAGUGUCUGCCUUAUCAGUUAGAUCGAAGGCCGCGGGCCUAUCGAUGGCAUUGACGGGUAACGGAGAAUCAGGGUUCGGUUCCGGAGAGGGAGCCUGAGAAACGGCUACCACAUCCAAGGAAGGCAGCAGGCGCGCAACUUACCCAUUCCCAGCUCGGGGAGGUAGUAACGAGAAGUACUGAUUCGGGCCAUUGGUCACGAGUCGGAGUGAGGGCAGCCUAAACAGUUUGAUGAGGUGCCAUCGGAGGGCAAGUCUGGUGCCAGCAGCCGCGGUAAUUCCAGCUCCGAUAGUGUAUGCUAAGGCUGCUGCGGUUAAAAAGCUCGUAGUUGGAUCUCGGUUCGAGGCAGGGAGUAGGGCAGCUUUUCUUGUUAACACAGGUUGGCUUGCCUCUCUCUGAGCGAUGAACGAUAUUGCCGUGCGUUCUGGUUGUGUUACUCGUUUUCGGGUUGCCCCAGUCGCCGGCGCGUUUACUUUGAGCAAAAGCCAGUGAUCAAAGCAGACCGUAAGGUCCGAAGUCUCGUGCAUAGAAUGAUGGGAGAUAACCGCCGGAGGUGUAGGGUUGCAUAUUGCGGCUUUGCAUCGCCCGGCGGUAAAUGAUUAAUAGGGACGGACGAGGGCAUUCGUAUUCUGGCGYGAGGGGUGAAAUCCAAUGACCGUCGMAUGACGACCAAAGGCGAAGGCAUUUGCCAAGAAUGUUUUCGUUAAUCAAGAACGAAAGUCAGAGGUUCGAAGGCGAUUAGAUACCGCCCUAGUUCUGACCGUAAACUAUGCCAACCAGCGAUCCGUCGAGUUUGYGAUAUGGACUCGUACGGGCAGCUUCCUUUGCCGGGAAACCGAAGAGUUCGGGUUCCGGGGGGAGUAUGGUUGCAAAGCUGAAACUUAAAGGAAUUGACGGAGGGGCACCACCAGGAGUGGAGCCUGCGGCUUAAUUUGACUCAACACGGGAAAACUCACCAGGGCCCGACACCGUUAAGAUUGACAGAUUGAGAGCUCUUUCUUGAUUCGGUGGGUGGUGGUGCAUGGCCGUCGGAAGUUGGUGGAGUGAUCAGUCAGGUCAACUCCGGUAACGAACGAGACUCUAGCCUACUAAAUAGAGUGCCGAGCCGUUUUAUAUGGUUUGCGCCUUACUCUUCUUAGAGGGACCAAUGGUUUACAGCCAUGCGAAAUGGAGCUAUGACAGGUCUGUGAUGCCCUUAGAUGUCCUGGGCAGCACGCGCGCCACACUGACAAAGCCAAUGGGAUUUAACCGAGUCCGAAAGGAUCGGGAGACCCGCUAAUCUUUGUCGUGUCGGGGAUCGUGCAUUGUAAUUCUUGUACGUGAACGAGGAAUUCCCAGUAAGUGCGAGUCAAGAGCUCGCGUUGACUACGUCCCUGCCCUUUGUACACACCGCCCGUCGCUACUACCGAUUGAACGAUGUAGCCAGCACCACGGACUGAGACAGACCAUUUUAUGGUCUUGUCAAGGGAAGUGGUUCGAGCUCGAUCGUUUAGAGGAAGUAAAAGUCGUAACAAGGUAUCUGUAG